GACGAACGCUGGCGGCGCGCCUAACACAUGCAAGUCGAACGAGCGAGAGAGAGCUUGCUUUCUCGAGCGAGUGGCGAACGGGUGAGUAACGCGUGAGGAACCUGCCUCAAAGAGGGGGUCAACAGUUGGAAACGACUGCUAAUACCGCAUAAGCCCACGGCUCGGCAUCGAGCAGGGGGAAAAGGAGCAAUCCGCUUUGAGAUGGCCUCGCGUCCGAUUAGCUAGUUGGUGAGGUAACGGCCCACCAAGGCGACGAUCGGUAGCCGGACUGAGAGGUUGAACGGCAACAUUGGGACUGAGACACGGCCCAGACUCCUACGGGAGGCAGCAGUGGGGAAUAUUGCACAAUGGGGGAAACCCUGAUGCAGCGACGCCGCGUGGAGGAAGAAGGUCUUCGGAUUGUAAACUCCUGUUGUUGGGGAAGAUAAUGACGGUACCCAACAAGGAAGUGACGGCUAACUACGUG
rnacentral:rRNA from 1 species